rnacentral:snRNA from 1 species
GUGCUCACUCUGUGGCAGCAUGUAUACUAAAAUUAGAACAGUACAGAGAUUAGCAUGGCCCCUGUACAAGGAUGACAUGCAAAUUCACAAGGCUUCCAUAUAAAUAAAUUUUU